rnacentral:rRNA from 1 species
UACAGAGGUCUCAAGCGUUGUUCGGAUUCAUUGGGCGUAAAGGGUGCGUAGGCGGCGCGGUAAGUCGGGUGUGAAAUCUCGGAGCUUAACUCCGAAACUGCAUUCGAUACUGCCGUGCUUGAGGACUGGAGAGGAGACUGGAAUUUACGGUGUAGCGGUGAAAUGCGUAGAUAUCGUAAGGAAGACCAGUGGCGAAGGCGGGUCUCUGGACAGUUCCUGACGCUGAGGCACGAAGGCCCAGGGGGAGCAAAACGGGGAUUUAGAAACCCC